rnacentral:lncRNA from 1 species
UUGGGCUAGUAGUAAGCUCUGCUCCAGCAUGGAUUCAAGAAGUGAGGCCUGAGACUCUGAGGAAAUUGGCAAGUGGAUUGAGAGGAUGGCAUGAAUGCGAGCUGGCACUCUCUCUUCUUGAAAGAGGAGGUAUUGGAUCCAUACCAUCUGUAAUGGAACUCUUACAUGUAAUUAAUUGACUAUCUCAAUUUAACAUGUGAUUAUAUAAGUUGCAAAUGAAAUAUAUGUUGUCCUUAUUGGAAACUAAGCUGUUUUUUUUAAUUGCUUUUAUUACCUAGUGCUUAUGUUGAACUAUUAACCGGCUUAGGGGUUGUUUGGUUGUAGGAUUAAAACAACUUCUAUCAUUUAGUUUCAAUAAUUCAGUCGUUUGAAUGCAUUUACUUUUUUUAAAUUUACGCUGAAAAUUUGGUAAUCAUGUGUUAUAAAAUUGCCCAUGCAUGUAUCAAUUCAUUUCUUAUCUAUUCAAUUAUUAUUUUUCAUUACGACUUCUACUCAGGCCAUUGAGCUAGGAUAAAUCCAUUCAAGCCAUUGAACUACUUUUGUGUUAUUUUUAAUAAUGAUAAUUGAUAAUAUAAAAGGACAAAAUAUGGGGAAUGGAUAGCUGUUGGACCCUUUAAAACAGAAUUGGAUUUAAGAAAUAGCUCAAGCAUAAUUAAAUUAAUAUUUGAAUUGUCUAAAGAAAAGAAAAGAAAAAUCUUCUUCACAAAAUGGUAGAGCACGUAACCAAAGUACCAAACCGAGAAAGGCCUCAAGAUGACAAACAGAUGUAAAUCAAAAUAUGAAUUUACCUAACAUAAUUGAGAAUCAAAUUUUGUAAUUUGCAUUCUCAAAUGUAAUUGUUUUAAAAUAACAACGCAGAGACCCUUUCUACAAUAAGCAAGCAACUGUAAAAGGCAAAAGCUCUACUAUAUUUCCAUAUCGACGACGAACACUUAUAAGAUGAACAACAUUUUUCCUUUGCAAGCAAACCGACCGGUAUGUUCAAUUAAUCAAGAGGAGAAAAAAAAGUCAGCUUAAUUACCUUUUAUUUUCUCACGAACGAACGAAGAUAAGUAUCUUCGUAUAUGUAUAUUUUUCAUCUUCAAUCAAUUGUUGACUCCACUUGUAUAAAAUCGACAUCCAGAUGCAGAUUUGUAACCCUAAGGGCAAAUUUUCCAACAGUGCUCAUGACAUUCAGUAAGAGGCCAAUUAAAGAAAGAUCAUGAACUAAUUAAUAAAGAUAUGUUGAAAUAUCUUCCCCAGUUCAAUAUUAAAGCGCAUGUACGUACGUGGAUUAAUUUAGAGAGACCGGCGCACGGGCAGAAGUCUGAAAAUUGGUAUUGGA